UGCAAGUCGAACGAACUCUGGUAUUGAUUGGUGCUUGCAUCAUGAUUUACAUUUGAGUGAGUGGCGAACUGGUGAGUAACACGUGGGAAACCUGCCCAGAAGCGGGGGAUAACACCUGGAAACAGAUGCUAAUACCGCAUAACAGCUUGGACCGCAUGGUCCGAGUUUGAAAGAUGGCUUCGGCUAUCACUUUUGGAUGGUCCCGCGGCGUAUUAGCUAGAUGGUGAGGUAACGGCUCACCAUGGCAAUGAUACGUAGCCGACCUGAGAGGGUAAUCGGCCACAUUGGGACUGAGACACGGCCCAAACUCCUACGGGAGGCAGCAGUAGGGAAUCUUCCACAAUGGACGAAAGUCUGAUGGAGCAACGCCGCGUGAGUGAAGAAGGGUUUCGGCUCGUAAAACUCUGUUGUUAAAGAAGAACAUAUCUGAGAGUAACUGUUCAGGUAUUGACGGUAUUUAACCAGAAAGCCACGGCUAACUACGUGCCAGCAGCCGCGGUAAUACGUAGGUGGCAAGCGUUGUCCGGAUUUAUUGGGCGUAAAGCGAGCGCAGGCGGUUUUUUAAGUCUGAUGUGAAAGCCUUCGGCUCAACCGAAGAAGUGCAUCGGAAACUGGGAAACUUGAGUGCAGAAGAGGACAGUGGAACUCCAUGUGUAGCGGUGAAAUGCGUAGAUAUAUGGAAGAACACCAGUGGCGAAGGCGGCUGUCUGGUCUGUAACUGACGCUGAGGCUCGAAAGUAUGGGUAGCAAACAGGAUUAGAUACCCUGGUAGUCCAUACCGUAAACGAUGAAUGCUAAGUGUUGGAGGGUUUCCGCCCUUCAGUGCUGCAGCUAACGCAUUAAGCAUUCCGCCUGGGGAGUACGGCCGCAAGGCUGAAACUCAAAGGAAUUGACGGGGGCCCGCACAAGCGGUGGAGCAUGUGGUUUAAUUCGAAGCUACGCGAAGAACCUUACCAGGUCUUGACAUACUAUGCAAAUCUAAGAGAUUAGACGUUCCCUUCGGGGACAUGGAUACAGGUGGUGCAUGGUUGUCGUCAGCUCGUGUCGUGAGAUGUUGGGUUAAGUCCCGCAACGAGCGCAACCCUUAUUAUCAGUUGCCAGCAUUAAGUUGGGCACUCUGGUGAGACUGCCGGUGACAAACCGGAGGAAGGUGGGGAUGACGUCAAAUCAUCAUGCCCCUUAUGACCUGGGCUACACACGUGCUACAAUGGAUGGUACAACGAGUUGCGAACUCGCGAGAGUAAGCUAAUCUCUUAAAGCCAUUCUCAGUUCGGAUUGUAGGCUGCAACUCGCCUACAUGAAGUCGGAAUCGCUAGUAAUCGCGGAUCAGCAUGCCGCGGUGAAUACGUUCCCGGGCCUUGUACACACCGCCCGUCACACCAUGAGAGUUUGUAACACCCAAAGUCGGUGGGGUAACCUUUUAGGAACCAGCCGC
rnacentral:rRNA from 1 species